rnacentral:rRNA from 1 species
GUACACGCUGUGACUAGCAUAUCAAUAAGCGGAGGAAAAGAAACUAACAAGGAUUCCCCUAGUAACGGCGAGUGAAGCGGGAAGAGCUCAAAUUUGAAAUCUUAAAGGGUUUCCCUUUACGAAUUGUAGUUUAAAGAAGUGUUUUCUGUUGAGGUUUUGGUAAAAGUUCUUUGGAAUAGGACAUCAUAGAGGGUGAGAAUCCCCGUAUUUGACCUUUACUUUCAACUUUGUGAUACACUUUCAAAGAGUCGGAUUGUUUGGGAAUGCAGUCCAAAAUGGGUGGUAAAUUUCAUCUAAAGCUAAAUAUUGGCGAGAGACCGAUAGCGAACAAGUACCGUGAGGGAAAGAUGAAAAGAACUUUGAAAAGAGAGUUAAACAGUACGUGAAAUUGUCAAAAGGGAAGCGUUUGACACCAGUGUUGUUUUUCUGAAAAUCAAUUAAAGAACUGUUUAUGCUAAGCUGUUUAGACUUUAUCAGCUAACUGUUUAGUUUUGAGCCUUUCUUUAAUGCACUUUUCAGUUAACAAGUCAACAUCAAUUUCUUUUGCUGUAAAAAAGCUUGAGGAAGGUGGCUUGAGAUUCGUCUUAAGUGUUUAUAGCCUCUUGCCUAUGCAGUCGGAGAGAUUGAGGUCUGCAGCGUAGAUCCUUCGGGGCUAAAUGCAUUUGUGCUAAGUUAUAGCAUUUUAUAGACAACUUGUUGACUAUGAUUUGUCUUGUAGCUUACUCGCUUAUGUUAUUUUACCUACGCUUAGGAUGUUGAGUCGUAGAGCACGCAG